rnacentral:rRNA from 1 species
AUUGAACGCUGGCGGCAGGCCUAACACAUGCAAGUCGCACGAGUGGCGGACGGGUGAGUAAUGUCUGGGAAACUGCCUGCUGGAGGGGGGUAACUACUGGAACCGGUAGCUAAUACCGCAUACCAUCCGACUUCCCCAGAUGGGAUUAGCUAGUAGGUGGGGUACUGGCUCACAUAGCCGACGAUCCCUAGCUGGUCUGAGCAGAUGACCAGCCACAUGGGAACUGAGACACGGUCCAGACUACGACGGGAGGCAGCAGUGGGGAAUAGUGCACAAUGGGCGCAAGCCUGAUGCAGCCAUGCCGCGUGUAUGAAGAGGGCCUCAGGGUUGUAAAGUACUUGCAGCGUGGAGGCGUUACUCGCAGAAGAAGCACCGGCUAAAUCCGUGCCAGCAGCCGCGGUAAUAC